rnacentral:lncRNA from 1 species
AUCCAGACGAUCUUAACGCCAUACCAGCCAGCAUGGCCCACACUGAGUUCCUGAAUGUAGUAAUUUGUUUCAUGCAGAAACCAUUCUCUGGUUAAAAUAAGCUAGGAAACACUGACUUAUACCAGACUGAAUUUCUGUUUUGUUUUGGUUUUAGCUGUAGGACUUUUUAGACAUUAGUGUAGUAAUGUGCUCUGUUAAUCUCAGAGGCAACUGUGAACAUACGUAGUUUUUCAAAUGAAACAUUUUUGGUGGGGGUUGAGGGUAGGCCCAGGGAACAGUGCCUUUCCACAUAUUGAAGACCCCACCCUAUGGAUACAGUUUGGGAAAUGCCGUCUUGGAAUAACUGUACAUUUCUGUAUAGCAUAAGCCUGUAGGUUCAACCUGUACGUUGGAAAUCUGGAAAUGGUUUUUCAGUGGUGGGAGAAGGGAAUGCUGAUGUGUGUAGAGGGCUCUCUCCCUUCCUUUUCCUUUUUUUCUUUCUCUUUUGGCCUGAAAUCGACUACUUUAAGCUCUUAAGAGAAAGAUAAUGACAUAACUUUAAAAAAAUUGUUGUACAUGUGUGUGCGUGUGUGUGCUUAUACAUCAAGGAAGUAGCUCCUGCUAUGGAAAUGAAUAUUAACUGCUUUUGAGAAUAGCUUUUUUUCCUCCCAGAAUGAAAGUUAGUGAAAUCAGUC